rnacentral:rRNA from 1 species
UAUACUGUGAAACUGCGAAUGGCUCAUUAAAUCAGUUAUCGUUUAUUUGAUAGUACCUUACUACUUGGAUAACCGUGGUAAUUCUAGAGCUAAUACAUGCUAAAAACCCCGACUUCGGAAGGGGUGUAUUUAUUAGAUAAAAAACCAAUGCCCUUCGGGGCUCCUUGGUGAAUCAUGAUAACUUAACGAAUCGCAUGGCCUUGCGCCGGCGAUGGUUCAUUCAAAUUUCUGCCCUAUCAACUUUCGAUGGUAGGAUAGUGGCCUACCAUGGUAGCAACGGGUAACGGGGAAUUAGGGUUCUAUUCCGGAGAGGGAGCCUGAGAAACGGCUACCACAUCCAAGGAAGGCAGCAGGCGCGCAAAUUACCCAAUCCCGACACGGGGAGGUAGUGACAAUAAAUACUGAUACAGGGCUCUUUCGAGUCUUGUAAUUGGAAUGAGUACAAUUUAAAUACCUUAACGAGGAACAAUUGGAGGGCAAGUCUGGUGCCAGCAGCCGCGGUAAUUCCAGCUCCAAUAGCGUAUAUUAAAGUUGUUGCAGUUAAAAAGCUCGUAGUUGAACCUUGGGCCUGGCUGGCCGGUCCGCCUCACCGCGUGUACUGGUCCGGCCGGGCCUUUCCUUCUGGGGAUCCGCAUGCCCUUCACUGGGUGUGCCGGGGAACCAGGACUUUUACUUUGAAAAAAUUAGAGUGUUCAAAGCAGGCCUUUGCUCGAAUACAUUAGCAUGGAAUAAUAGAAUAGGACGUGCGGUCCUAUUUUGUUGGUUUCUAGGACCGCCGUAAUGAUUAAUAGGGAUAGUCGGGGGCAUCAGUAUUCAAUUGUCAGAGGUGAAAUUCUUGGAUUUAUUGAAGACUAACUACUGCGAAAGCAUUUGCCAAGGAUGUUUUCAUUAAUCAGUGAACGAAAGUUAGGGGAUCGAAGACGAUCAGAUACCGUCGUAGUCUUAACCGUAAACUAUGCCGACUAGGGAUCGGGCGAUGUUAUUAUUUUGACUCGCUCGGCACCUUACGAGAAAUCAAAGUC